rnacentral:rRNA from 1 species
UACGUAGGCAGCGAGCGUUGUUCGGAGUUACUGGGCGUAAAGAGCUCGUAGGCGGUGUGUCACGUCGAUCGUGAAAACUUUUAGCUUAACUGGGAGCUUGCGGUCGAUACGGGCAUCACUGGAGUUCGGCAGGGGAGACUGGAAUUCAAGGUGUAGCGGUGAAAUGCGCAGAUAUCUUGAGGAACACCGGUGGCGAAGGCGGGUCUCUGGGCCGAUACUGACGCUGAGGAGCGAAAGCGUGGGGAGCGAACAGG